AGCAGCCGCGGUAAUUCCAGCUCCAAUAGCGUAUAUUAAAGUUGUUGCAGUUAAAAAAGCUCGUAGUUGAAUUUCGGGAUCAGUAAGCCGGUCGUACCUUCGGUAUGUACUGGUGUCACUGAUUCCUCCCUUCUGAUGAACCGUUAUACCAUUUAGUUGGUGUGGCGGGGAAUCAGGACUGUUACCUUGAAAAAAUUAGAGUGUUUAAAAGCAAGCUCGCGCUUGAAUACAUUAGCAUGGAAUAAUAAAAUAGGACGUUUGAUCUCCUAUUUUGUUGGUUUCUAGGAUCGACGUAAUGAUUAAUAGGGAUAGUUGGGGGCAUUAGUAUUCAAUUGUCAGAGGUGAAAUUCUUGGAUUUAUUGAAGACUAACUACUGCGAAAGCAUUUGCCAAGGAUGUUUUCAU
rnacentral:rRNA from 1 species